rnacentral:rRNA from 1 species
GUAGGUGGCAAGCGUUGUCCGGAAUUAUUGGGCGUAAAGCGCGCGCAGGCGGUCCUUUAAGUCUGAUGUGAAAGCCCACGGCUCAACCGUGGAGGGUCAUUGGAAACUGGGGGACUUGAGUACAGAAGAGGAAAGCGGAAUUCCAAGUGUAGCGGUGAAAUGCGUAGAGAUUUGGAGGAACACCAGCGGCGAAGGCGGCUUUCUGGUCUGUAACUGACGCUGAGGCGCGAAAGCGUGGAGAGCAAACAGGGAUUAGAUACCCUGGUAGCCCACGCCGUAAACGAUGAGUGCUAAGUGUUAGGGGGUUUCCGCCCCCUUAGUGCUGCAGCUAACGCAUUAAGCACUCCGCCUGGGGAGUACGGCCGCAAGGCUG